GAGACUGAAUACGUAAAGGCACGUUGGACAUGCUCUAUUAUCUUCUGCACUGGGUAGAACCGCACCGCUUUGUGUUGACCUCGUUUUAGUUUGUGUUGAAACAUUCCGAGGACUGAUUUGAAUAAGCUUGUCGGUUGAGCACUGUGUUUGAUCAGUUUGGACGUAGGUGACGAUGCUUUGUUGUUUGUUGAGUUGGUUGCACGCCUGAACACGUAUACAACAAGUGUCGCAUUUACAGUUUAGGUGAGCCAGCUGGUACUUGAGUUGCCGAAGUUCAGUCGGCUCGCAGAUCGGGUCAGUCUUACAGCAAUGACGCGCCUUCCUGCGAGUGCCGAGGCUGUCAGUGUCCAGACUGCCCGACUUCUUUAAAGGCGGUAAAAGAUAUCGAUCCAAGUGUCUGCGACCACGGCACGAGGCCCAAGUGCCUGUGCAACGCUGUGAAAUCGAACGACAGUUGCGAAUUAUGCAUUCCCGUGAGCUGCAUAGAGCCCGAGCCGGUAUCGGAUCCAGAGCGUAUACAGAGCCUUAUGAAAGUGAUGAAGUUUGAUAAAUCAUGCUUUUGCAAGGUGGUGACCAGCGCCCUUCGCGCCGACGUGCACCGCUAUCUCGGAAUAUUCGAGCGAAUUGAACACGAUAAGGACUGCGACGAGCCAUUUGAGGACAAGGAUUGCGACGAUACACCGAGCCAUUGCUCAGGCGCUUCAACAACUGGCCGACAAACUCUUUAAUAAACGAGCAUUUUCAAUAUUUGGGACACCCCAAUUAGCGAAAAUUGUCGUCACGAAACUGACAGGGAGUUAAUUUUCGUUAACAACUUUUACUAAUUGGGGUGACCCAAAUUCUGAAAAUGCUCAAACACCUCUACAAGUAUAUUGUCUAUUAUUCUAUACGAAAAGCCUGCGCUAAAAGAAGUUGUCGCUUUCCGGUUCCGUACAGAAACAGAAAAAUAAUAAACACACCUUCGACAGUAGGUACAUACCUAAAUAUAAUGAAACCACCCCCUCGAUUUCGCCUCGUCCGGCAAUUCCGUGUGAUUUGAGACAUUUCGUCCUUUAGUGUACUACUGACAUUUACAUUUAUGCCAAAAAUUUACAAACAUUGGCAAUUUGACAUCUCAUGCAGUGCACAUUCAGAAUGUAUUAAUAUCAUGUAAAUUAAAAGCAUUCUAUUUAGAUGUUGUUUUAUUAAACAGAGUUAAAGAGUAUAUGAAAAACAAGAUAUGCCAAUAAAAAGGAAAAUACAAACGUAUGUCUUUUGGAUGAUAUUAACAAGAAAGUUCAACCGUAACAGGUUCAAAAUUAAAUUGUUUUUAUUUACCACAUUGCUUUUAUUAAUAAUUACUUUUUACGGCUGGUAUAAAUAUAAAAAUGUGCAGCGUGGAAUUUAAAUUGUUCUUAUUU
rnacentral:misc_RNA from 1 species